rnacentral:rRNA from 1 species
GAUGAACGCUGGCGGCGUGCCUAAUACAUGCAAGUCGAGCGAACAGAUAAGGAGCUUGCUCUUUUGACGUUAGCGGCGGACGGGUGAGUAACACGUGGGUAACCUACCUAUAAGACUGGAAUAACUCCGGGAAACCGGGGCUAAUGCCGGAUAACAUUUAGAACCGCAUGGUUCUAAAGUGAAAGAUGGUUUUGCUAUCACUUAUAGAUGGACCCGCGCCGUAUUAGCUAGUUGGUAGGGUAACGGCUUACCAAGGCAACGAUACGUAGCCGACCUGAGAGGGUGAUCGGCCACACUGGAACUGAGACACGGUCCAGACUCCUACGGGAGGCAGCAGUAGGGAAUCUUCCGCAAUGGGCGAAAGCCUGACGGAGCAACGCCGCGUGAGUGAUGAAGGUCUUCGGAUCGUAAAACUCUGUUAUUAGGGAAGAACAAAUGUGUAAGUAACUGUGCACGUCUUGACGGUACCUAAUCAGAAAGCCACGGCUAACUACGUG